rnacentral:tRNA from 1 species
UUUAUGGUGGCAGAAUGAUAAUGUACUAGAUUUAGGUUCUAGAAAUAUAGGGUUGAUCCUAUCCAUAAUA